AUUCAACUAAUUGUAAUGACAAUUUUAGGACAUCCUCUGUUGAAGCGAAUUCCCGCGUUUGGAGUACUACAAUGUGAUGAACACUCAAGAGCCGGUAAUGUCCAACCCACUUACGCUUUAAGUAUUACAGUUAGUUAAGCUGGCGAAUGAACCAUCGGAGUCUUUGAAAAGUGAAACGAGAAAUAGGUUGCGAUGAAAAUAAUCCUAGGUUGAAGUUGGUUGAGCAUUGCCCAUCAUUGCUGGUAUUAGCUUUUAGAGUACUAUCGCCUUCUUCCCUUGUUCUGUUAAUUAGUGGGUUGAAUUUUCAUUAAGGAGAUUUGUUGAAUCAAUGUGAAAUAUGAAGUGGAAUAUUUUACUACAGGUGUAACUUUUGUGUGUGUGGAUCUUCAUUAGGAAAAUUGAUUGAGCAGGAGCCAUGCAUUGUCAAGCUCUUUAUUAAGUUCCUGCUAGUGCUUAUUGAUGUGAAAUAUGGUUGUGAAUGCAUCAUUUUCCUGUUGUUUU